rnacentral:rRNA from 1 species
AAUACAUCCGUUGAAAUACCAGUUCUAGUACGAUCACCGAAGUUAAGCAAUGUCCAAGCCUGGUCAGUACGUAGAUGGGUGACCGCUUGGGAAUACCAGGUGCU